rnacentral:rRNA from 1 species
AACGAACGCUGGCGGCAUGCCUAACACAUGCAAGUCGAACGGGUGCUUUCGGGCACUAGUGGCGCACGGGUGCGUAACGCGUGGGAAUCUGCCCUUCGGUACGGAAUAACUCGGGGAAACUCGUGCUAAUACCGUAUGAUGGCUUCGGUCCAAAGAUUUAUCGCCGAGGGAUGAGCCCGCGUGAGAUUAGGUAGUUGGUGGGGUAAAGGCCUACCAAGCCGACGAUCUCUAGCUGGUCUGAGAGGAUGAUCAGCCACACUGGGACUGAGACACGGCCCAGACUCCUACGGGAGGCAGCAGUGGGGAAUAUUGGACAAUGGGCGCAAGCCUGAUCCAGCAAUGCCGCGUGAGCGAUGAAGGCCUUAGGGUUGUAAAGCUCUUUUACCUGGGAAGAUAAUGACUGUACCGGGAGAAUAAGCCCCGGCUAACUCCGUGCCAGCAGCCGCGGUAAAAC